UAGAUUUCCAAAGAAAUCCAGCAGAGACAGAAGAGGGAGCAUUUGGAAACUUUCAGUGGCGCAUACUGGAAUUUUUGCUAAGGAUAGAAUCAGGAAGUGCAACAUCACUGAAGUCUGUGAAGGUUCCACUUGAUCAUUCCACUAGCCCACACAGUGAUGAUGCUGGACAGAUGGGGAAACUACUGGCUUGUGAGUGGAGGAAUAAAGGAGGAAAAAGGCAGCAGCAGGUGCAAAAGGAGGAAAAAACAAGCCUGCUCAACGAGCCAGCUGAGGGAAGACUGACACUCCUGGUAUACAAAGCAGGCCACCUUUGGGGAAAGGAAGUGAAGACAACAGAAAACAGAUGACACCA